rnacentral:rRNA from 1 species
GAGUUUGAUCAUGGCUCAGAUUGAACGCUGGCGGAAUGCUUUACACAUGCAAGUCGAGCGGCAGCGCGGGGCAACCUGGCGGCGAGCGGCGAACGGGUGAGUAAUGCAUCGGAACAUGUCCAUGUCGUGGGGGAUAGCCCGGCGAAAGCCGGAUUAAUACCGCAUACGCCCGAGAGGGGAAAGUGGGGGACCGCAAGGCCUCACGCGAUUGGGUUGGCCGAUGUCCGAUUAGCUAGUUGGCGGGGUAAAGGCCCACCAAGGCGAUGAUCGGUAGCUGGUCUGAGAGGAUGAUCAGCCACACUGGGACUGAGACACGGCCCAGACUCCUACGGGAGGCAGCAGUGGGGAAUUUUGGACAAUGGGGGCAACCCUGAUCCAGCCAUUCCGCGUGAGUGAAGAAGGCCUUCGGUUGUAAGCUCUUUG